GGAAGAAAGAAAUUGAAAUGAAAUGUUUAACCUUUGAUUGAGCCAUUGCACAAGCAGAAAAUUUUACUACCUUUGCUAUAUUACACAUACAUCUGUAUUAGCCUGAACUGCAGGCCAGGUGUUUUAUGUGUUUAGAGCUGCAACUGGGAAACCUUUUAUGUUUGAAUUCCAUUUGCUUAUUUGCUGUCAUGAUAUCUUAUAAUUGUUCCUCCCUUCCAUACUUCAGGUUGAUUAUAAUCACUGGCAAAAAAAUCAGCAUCAUAUAAAUAAUUUAGUUUAGAUGUGACAUAAAUGUAACUGAUGUCAUUGGCAUACUGCUGGUGAAUGUAAAUACGGAAAAUUUUUACUGAGAUCUAGCAUGUUUCUUUGCUUGUUGUUUAGCAACUUGUUUAAAAUUAUUUUGAUAGAUAAAAGAAAUUUAUGAAAGCAAAGAAAGGGGGUUCAACACUGAGAAUAAGAAAUUCUCUGGACCUGAAAGACUAAUGGAUACAGAUCAACUAAGAAAGUAAGGCUUUCCAAUCAAGUUUGGUAAUACUUGAAAAUGGAGGCAUAUGCCCAGAAAAGGGCCAAGAAAACCACCUUAUCCGCAACAGAUAAAGGGGAAAAAAAGAAGAAAAAAACUGAUUUUUUUAAAGAUGCAGUCUUUCCUUUCCAUCGAUAUUAAAAAUGAGUUCCAGCUGGUUAGGGAAUCAUUUGACUAUUUUGUGUGACUAGAAUAGUAACACUUCACCGAAUUGUAUUGUUGUAUGUGUUAUUAUAGCUAUUGUUGCUGUUUUUAAACUUUUUAUUCUCAUGCUUGAUGAUGAGACUGUCAUAUAGUGUUAUCUUCACAUUCUAGUUCCUUUAAUUGUCCUAAUUAAUCAUGCUGCUUGAGUAACUCUUCACUUCUUUUUCAGGGGGAUAUUUUGUUUUUGCACAU
rnacentral:misc_RNA from 1 species